rnacentral:misc_RNA from 1 species
GUAUACUAUAACUGAAAACAACCAAAAUUAAAGUAAAUAUUCUAUCAGCACUUUCAACAUCACAUUAAACAAAAGAAAGAAAUAUAAUCUACUAUAACACUGUACUACACUACAACAAUGAAACAAGGAACUUGAAUGCAACAAGGAAUACUAAAGAUUAAUUACGAAUGUACAAUGAUUCAAUAAUCUAAGGAUCUAAGAACUACACUAACGCGUGUAAUCGCAAAUCAGAAAGCUGCUUCCAUUCCACGUGUCGCAAUUAAAGCAAAAUCUUUGGUGGCGGUGGCGAGAAGACUUGAAGUGUUGUUAAGAGAAGCCGGAGGGCCACGGCGAGAAAGGUCCGCCAUUCUCGACACCUGGCAACAGCCAAUGGUAGGAUAAAGCGGACAGGAGAGAGCUUUUGGUCCUCGAACGCCACACCCUUCAUUGUGACCACAUAUCGACCGUCUCUCACAGCUUGGGGCUGCGUUCCCCGUACUAAUUAUGGAUAUGUCAAGGAGAUUUCAAGAAGAUUUCUCUUUGUCAUCUGUUUUUUAGAAGCGACACAUAAAUUU